AGAAAGGGAGGAGGCUCAGGCCCAUGCGCGGCGCGCCAAGCAAACGGAAGCAGUUGUGUGUGGCACACACUCGCUCGCACACGACACUGUCGAACAUAGACAGUGGGCGUGCCGUUUUUUUGCGUCUCCGCUCCCGGCUUUUUCCUCUCUUUUAAGGAAGGCGGGGCGGGGGUUUAGCGCGGCCCGUCAUAUUCUCGUCUCGUCUGGGGCGGCAAACGCGGGGCGUAGGUUAGGCAGGCAGGAGUCGCGGCUGCUGUGGCGGCCCCUGUCGCGCCGCCUCUCUCACUCACUCGACGGAACUCACCGCCGCCCUCCCCCUCUCCGUUCUCCUGCUCCUCCUCCUCCUCCUCGACACCCGACACCGACCUCCUCCGCCGAUCGUCGAUCGGUUACGGCGUCCCCAUCCCUCCCCUAUGUACCCCCCUCCCUUGCCGUAGCAGCUGCCGAAGGCGGCGAACAAGGUGGCGGCGUGCGGGAGGCCGAGGCACGAGCCGUCAAGGUUGGUCAGGAGGCGGCCGCUCCUGAGGAGGCUGCAGCUCCGGCGGCUCCCGGACCUAGAGCACCCGGAGGCGAGGUAGGCGCAGGGGUUCGCGUUCUACGGCGAGGGGCAGCUCUCGGUGUUCUUCUUGUAUUACCUCUUUCUUAAGAAGUGUCUCAUACCUCUCCGUUCGGUCAUGGUUUAGGUUCUUCAACAACCGUUCCCCUCAAUACCUCAUCAACGACGACGUUAUCUAUGGGCGUGGCCGCUCGCCCAACGCUAAUUCUUCUAGUUGCUACACAAACUCGUGCAGAGCCUACGGUGCGCGUAGGAGGCGCUCCAGUUCGAGGAAGCCGACGAUGCAGUAGGUCUGCACCACCUCUAGUUCGUGUAUUACGAGGGAGGAAGAGCCUCCCUCAAGGUUCUAUAUAUACAACAAAAGCUCGAGUACCUCAGCCUAGAGGUAGUCCAGUAGUCUCGAUUACUACUGGAGUGCCGCCUCGUAAUGGUCAAAAAGGAAAUGGUCGAAGAGGCGCGAGAGUUCAUGUAGGUACCUCGAUUACAUAAAGUAGCGCUAGACUUCGGGUUCUUAUAUGACCGGUUGCGUCUGACGUUUGACUUUUAAACACUGAAACCUGAACGCGCACAUAGUAAAUUACUACGAGGAAGUCGAUAUAAAACCUGCCUGAUACAUCGUUGUUCCACCAUAUCUCGGGGACUUAAUACACCGAGGAAAAAGAGCUUUAUGUGAGGACGAUAACUAUAAACCUCAUAACCUACGUAUAAACGACUCGAAGAGUGACCUGCCGGUGAGAAAGGACCCUUCUUACAGCAUGUGGUCAAUCUAUAUUAUUGUCUAGAAGAACCUUGAGGUAGUAGUCUUUGGAAUAGAGCCUAAGCUUUACUCUUCCGGUCCUCCAUGAAUUCAACGUACGCUUUUUUUGUGGGACAUGGGAACUGAGUCUUUAAAGGAUUACGACUAGGUAACCGCCAAGCGGAUGACCCAGCAAAUGAACGUAAACUGGGAUUUCUGGCCGGAAGUCGACUUCUCCGAAAUCGUCUGGGUAUAAAACGUAGAGAACGGUUACACCUCGCACUCGGAAGUUCCGUAGGUUAAAGCUUUGAACUCAAACUCAAACUCUCUGCUUUCCACUGUUUUCUACUACAAUCCCUUAACUAGAUAGCUCUCUAAAACCUCAUGGUAGGUGUCUACGACCUCCUUAUGUACUUUCCACCUCUGGUCUAAUCGAAGGAGAUAGGUUCACCACAACUGGCGAAAUUUGCCGUCAAACGUGUGGACCUCCUCGUAAUGUCGUUUCCUCUUGCUCCAAGGGGCGACGUUUCUUUCGUACGAAGAGAUGGUUCCGUCUCUCAUCCACGUAGUUUGCUGCCAUUAUUACUUGUCGUAUAAUCACUAGUCCUCUACUCACGUCUCGGACUACGGGUACCGUGUCACUCGGGAGUUUUCAGUGUCCUACGUCGGCCACAACCGGUCUUACCAGACUCGGGAUGGUCGAACUCGAGCGCCUGGAUGGAGUUCUCGCGCUCGUAAUCACGAAGGUUCACGCAGCAACAGUUGGGCUUAUUUGUCGGUCUCAUACUGCUGCGCUAGAGACUCCUUUGCCUUCCCCGGCAGCUGCCUGAUAGGCUCUUCCAGAGGUUCUACGUACGGAUCACGUCGUUGUUGCUGCCUUCAGCCGUGGUGUAAAGAGUAAAGACAGUCCAUGUGGCCUACGACUAUCGUUUCGUCACGUGACGUUCAACCUCUACCAAAUCGCUCACGUACAAGGACAGUUCGCAGCAACGACGUGCGUCCCCGACCGGGACGUACCUAACUACAUAAAAAUGUGAGUUCGAGCGUUACAUUGUGGCUCUAAACAACAAGAGAUCGUAGAUGAUGAUAUGCACUAACGUUGCUUGCCUGGUUCUGUAGACUACUUGUGAACAGUACAAAGGGACAGCUUGUAGGAAUUAUAUAGUUCUUCGCAACGACGAGACGUAGAUAUAGUUGUUCUUCACGACUCAAAGUAAAGGAAAGAAAGCACAAACCUAUUUACACCGUUAGUUCGACUUGGGACUCAUGUCUAAAUCUUUGUAGAUCAUCACAUAAAGAGUUUAACUUACUACAAAGGGGCAGUAAACAUCGGAUCAAAGUCGUAGCUCCUGCUGCCGUAAACGGUUCCUUCAACGGCGGAGAACCACGCACUAAGAAGGCUCUGACUACUACUGCCCCCUGCUGGUCUGGUCAGAGUCAAGGAGGGCCUGCACACGCUAUACCGUUACGUUAACAAGAUGCCAGAUGUUGUAUGUGUUCUGUUCAGGUUACCUAAGAGGUCGACACUAGUAAGUAGAUAAAUAACGUCCAGAGCAACAUGACAUGAGGGGUUAAACAGAGCUGAGAACCUAGUCAAUGAACCAUCAUCAUGUAGCCGCGGCGACUCUAACUACUGCCGAAUACGAUACUUCUUUAGGGAGGAGAACGACGACGAGGACUUGAGGACGAGUGGCAGCACGAGGCCGUGGCCGUGGCCGAGGUCGAGGCUGCUGCUCGGGCUGCAGGCGACGGAGUUCUCGAAGGACGCGAGACACCAACUAGGGCCGCCGCUUGACUGUAGGAGCACCUUAAAGCUGUUGCGGUGUUUCCCGAUGUAGACGCCGAAGUGGCCGCACUGCACGACCAGGCGGCUGGUCUUGUCCCAGAACAGAGACGCGGAGGUUCCGGGGAAAGGGGCCCCGGACGCCCUGACGCGCUCGUACUGGCCGGCCGCGGGAGCUGGACAGCUCGUUGUCAAAGCGGCCUGGCCAGGGCCGCCUGUAGAGCGACGUCGAGGGCAAGUAUUGCAGGGAAUUGGAGAGCAUGUUGCCGAAGACCCCAGGCUAGGGCGGCCCGUACCCCUCCUACCUAGAGGACUUCGAGCAACUGGAACCCGUGUUGGUCGAGUCGCCGCUCUAGGGCAACCUCGACAAGUCCGAAGGAAUAGACCUAAGCUACUCACAGCGCCCGUUGAGCAACAGGCCCGGAUAGGGCAGAAAAGACGUCUCCAAAGGCCGCCGCAGGAAACGGCCGUUGCCGUUGCUGCCCGAGACACCGCGAGGCAACCUAGCAGAAACGGGGCGGAGGCGCUCCUCACCUUUCGUUUAGUCGCCGCCCAGCUCACAGCCCCGCCGACAGCCCAAGCAGGACCCGAAACACCACCGGAAGAUGAAGGGCGUCACCAAGCAAAAGAGGGCCUCCGAGGUGGGGAUGCAGAUGGCGAAAGAGACUUCGAAGGAGCAAGUACCUUAAGGUCCUUCGGCCUACCCGUGAAACCUGAUACCAAAGUCGAAAAAAGUACCGCCGUUGCAUAUAUCUAAACAGAAGUAUGUAUGAUACACUUGGAACCGUGACGCAAAGACAGUCCGUGUUGGGUUCUUCGUCUCGUUACGUGUUUGGCGUCGUGUGUUCGUAGCAACGUCUACCAAAUCGCUGGUACCCUUAUAUACUAGAACUAAGGGUAAAGACAGCUGGUACCCUUAUAUACUCGCUCACCGUCUACCAAAUCGCUGACGUACAAGGGCGGUUGCGGGUCGUAGCAACGACAUGCGUCCUCGACCGGGACGUAACUAACUACAUAAAAAUGUGAGUUCGAGUGUUACACUGUGACUCUAAUCGAGCAUGUAGAUAGUAGAUACUUAGUAACAUUGCUUG
rnacentral:rRNA from 1 species